UACGUAGGGUGCGAGCGUUGUCCGGAAUUAUUGGGCGUAAAGGGCUCGUAGGCGGUUUGUCGCGUCGGGAGUGAAAUCCACUGGCUUAACUGGUGGCUUGCUUUCGAUACGGGCAGACUGGAGGUAUGCAGGGGGAGAACGGAAUUCCUGGUGUAGCGGUGAAAUGCGCAGAUAUCAGGAGGAACACCGGUGGCGAAGGCGGUUCUCUGGGCCGAUACUGACGCUGAGGAGCGAAAGCGUGGGGAGCGAACAGG
rnacentral:rRNA from 1 species